rnacentral:rRNA from 1 species
UACGUAGGGUGCAAGCGUUAAUCGGAAUUACUGGGCGUAAAGUGUGCGCAGGUGGCUGAGCAAGUCGAGUGUGAAAUCCCCGGGCUUAACUUGGGAAUUGCGCUCGAAACUACUUGGCUCGAGUGUGGCAGAGGAAGGUGGAAUUCCACGUGUAGCGGUGAAAUGCGUGGAGAUGUGGAGGAACACCGAUGGCGAAGGCAGCCUUCUGGGCCAACACUGACGCUCAUGCACGAAAGCGUGGGGAGCAAACAGG